GACACUUACUGGGUGGGCAGAGCAACAUUGUUUUGACAGUGAAAUUUACCAAUUUAUAAUUUUUUAAGAAAAGCAUGCCUAGCACAGACCACCUGAUUACCAAGAGGAAGCUGAAGAGGAGAUUCUACUAGAGGUUUCUUGAGUACAGGCGAUCAGGCUGCAAAGGGGAACUAUGGACUCCUUGAUCUCAUACAAGCUUUAAGAUGGACUAGUGAAAACAUUGGAUUCUUUGGUGGUGACCCCUUAAGAAUCACUGUUUUUGGAUCUGGUGCUGGGGGUUCAUGUGUCAACCUGCUGACUUUAUCCCAUUAUUCUGAAGGACUUUUUCAACGAGCAAUAGCUCAAAGUGGAACAGCCCUUUCCAGCUGGGCUGUUAGUUUUCAACCUGCAAAAUAUGCCAGAAUGUUGGCCACAAAAGUUGGUUGCAAUGUUUCAGAUACAGUAGAGUUAGUGGAAUGCCUACAGAAGAAGCCUUACAAAGAACUUGUUGACCAAGAUAUUCAACCAGCUCGAUACCACAUAGCCUUUGGACCUGUGAUUGAUGGUGAUGU
rnacentral:sRNA from 1 species